GAUGAACGCUGGCGGCGUGCCUAAUACAUGCAAGUCGAGCGAACAGACGAGGAUCUUGCUCCUCUGACGUUAGCGGCGGACGGGUGAGUAACACGUGGAUAACCUACCUAUAAGACUGGUAUCACUUCGGGAAACCGGAGCUAAUACCGGAGAAUAUAUUGAACCGCAUGGUGCAAUAGUGAAAUACGGUGUUGCUGUCACGUAUAGAUGGAUCCGCGCCUCAUGAGGUAGUUGGUAAUGUAACGGCUUACCAAGGCGACGAUGCGUAGCCCACCUGAGAGACUGGUAGACCACACUGGAACUGAGACACCCUCCAGACUCCUACGAGACGCAGCAGUAGGGAAUCUUCCGCAAUAGUCGAAAACAUGACACAACAACCCCACGUGAGUUAUAAAAAUCUUCCGAUCGUAAAACUCUCUUAUUAGUUAAAAACAAAUGUCUAAGUAAAUAUGCCCGUCUUGACGGUAACUAAUAAGAAAGCACCGGCUAACUACGUG
rnacentral:rRNA from 1 species